GAGGUGAAUUUCUUUAGGCCGUGGGAGAGUUAUAAAUGGGGUUUUGGUAAUAAAACCGGUGAAUACUGGCUGGGUUUAGAGUUUCUUUACCAGCUGAUGGGCAGAUACAGGUAUAAACUCAGAGUGGAUGUGGAGGACAUUAAAGGGAAGAAGGCUUACGCUCUGUACAACUCUUUAUCUGUGGGCUCUGAGGGCUGAUGGGUACAAACUGCAAGUGAGCGGCUUUGUAGAUGGAGGAGCAGGUGAUUCUUUGAGUUAUCACAAUGGAAUGAAGUUCUCCACCUUUGACAAUGACCAAGAUACUUGGGUAGGCGGUAACUGCGCUAUGACAUUCUCUCAAGGAGGGUUUUGGUACAACAACUGUGCUAAUGCAAACCCCACUGG